GAUGAACGCUAGCGGCAGGCUUAAUACAUGCAAGUCGAACGGGAUUCAGGGUAGCAAUACUUUGAUGAGAGUGGCGCACGGGUGCGUAACGCGUAUGCAACCUACCUUUAACAGGGGAAUAGCCCCAAGAAAUCGGGAUUAAUACUCCGUAACAUUGCGGGAUGGCAUCAUUCUGCAAUUAAAGAUUUAUCGGUUAAAGAUGGGCAUGCGUGACAUUAGCUUGUUGGUGAGGUAACGGCUCACCAAGGCAACGAUGUCUAGGGGUCCUGAGAGGGUUAUCCCCCACACUGGUACUGAGACACGGACCAGACUCCUACGGGAGGCAGCAGUAAGAUAUGGUACAAGUGGGCGACAAGCCUAGAACCAGCCAU
rnacentral:rRNA from 1 species